rnacentral:rRNA from 1 species
AUUGAACGCUGGCGGCAUGCCUUACACAUGCAAGUCGAACGGCAGCACGGGAGCAAUCCUGGUGGCGAGUGGCGAACGGGUGAGUAAUAUAUCGGAACGUGCCCAGUCGUGGGGGAUAACGUAGCGAAAGCUACGCUAAUACCGCAUACGAUCUAUGGAUGAAAGCGGGGGAUCGCAAGACCUCGCGCGAUUGGAGCGGCCGAUAUCAGAUUAGGUAGUUGGUGAGGUAAAGGCUCACCAAGCCAACGAUCUGUAGCUGGUCUGAGAGGACGACCAGCCACACUGGAACUGAGACACGGUCCAGACUCCUACGGGAGGCAGCAGUGGGGAAUUUUGGGACAA